AAGGAUCAUUAUUGAAUGAACUUGGCGUGGUUGUCGCUGGCCCUCUCGAGGGUAUGUGCACGCCCGUCAUCUUUAUCUUUCCACCUGUGCACACUUUGUAGACUUGAAUAGUAUUUUCUGAGGCAACUCAGUCGGGAGGAUUGCUGAUAUCAUCAGCUCUCCUUGCAUUAUUCAAGCCUAUGUUUUUCAUAUACCCCAAAAAUGUAACAGAAUGUAUCAUUGGGCCUUGUGCCUAUAAAAACUAUAUACAACUUUCAGCAACGGAUCUCUUGGCUCUC
rnacentral:misc_RNA from 1 species